UUUUCGUAUAAUUUUUGUGAAACCCCGUAGUCUUAGUUUAACAGGGUUCACAUUCAAUUGGUGGAUUCUUAAAGUAAUAUACCAAGAUUAUUGGUGACAAAAGUAAUACUUGUGACAGAUAUUUACGUAUUUAAUUCCUGAUGCCAAGCAGUUCCUGCAAUGGAUGGCUGUGGCGCGAAUUUUAAGCAGAAAACUGUGCAGAAUAUUUUACAAGAGCACUUCAAAGAUGAAAAAACUAAAAUAAAUACAGAUGCUGUUAAGCUAGUAACAGAAGUAGCAAGAAUAUUUGUGCUAGAGGCAUCAACGAGAGCAGCUAUUCAAGCAAAGAAGGAUAUGUCUGAUGAAGUUAUGAUUGAUCAUUUUGAGAAAAUAUUACCUCAGUUGUUACUUGAUUUGUGAUAGACUGGAUCUGGAAGUUAAACACAAGACUAUACUAAGGCCAUAUACAAAAAUAUUCUGAUUCUCAUAUAGUCGUGUGUCACUUCAAUAUGAUUAAAUUACAGAUCUAUAUUUCGUUUUGUUUUUUUAUACUUUUGAUGGCCUACACUACAUGAAGAUUUGACUGGUUGUACUGGAUGUCAUGUCGGUGGUCGCACGAGCAGCUUUUGACCCUAUGAUGUCAGACAUUGAUUAACCAAUCAGCAUUGAUGUUUCUAGGGGGUUUACUCACAGUUGCGUGCAGGGCAUGCCAAAUACUCACAGUAACAGACUGUUUCAUUGGCCUGUAAUAUAACAACUCUUCCAGAUCCUAGUGUAGUACAGACAAGUAAAACGAAAUUUUGAACUAUAAAAAACCAAAUGAAAUAGGAUCUGUAUUUUAAUCAGAUUGGUGUCACUUUAAAAGAUCGGCAGUUAAUGAAGUUACUGUAGGUAAUUUGGAAUUUGUUCCAACCCAUAUAGAUUAUUCACCAUGUUAAGAGUAUAUUGUUAUAUUAUGUUUACAAAUUAAAUCAUGCAAAAUAAAAAAAAAAAUUUU